GAUGAACGCUGGCGGCAGGCUUAACACAUGCAAGUCGAACGAUGAAGCUAGAGCUUGCUCUGGUGAAUUAGUGGCGAACGGGUGAGUAACACGUGAGUAACCUGCCCCGAACUCUGGGAUAACUGCUGGAAACGGUAGCUAAUACUGGAUACGACCUACGAAGGCAUCUUCUGUAGGUGGAAAGAAUUUCGGUUCGGGAUGGACUCGCGGCCUAUCAGCUUGUUGGUGAGGUAAUGGCUCACCAAGGCGACGACGGGUAGCCGGCCUGAGAGGGUAACCGGCCACACUGGGACUGAGACACGGCCCAGACUCCUACGGGAGGCAGCAGUGGGGAAUAUUGCACAAUGGGCGCAAGCCUGAUGCAGCAACGCCGCGUGAGGGAUGACGGCCUUCGGGUUGUAAACCUCUUUUAGUAGGGAAGAAGCGAAAGUGACGGUACCUGCAGAAAAAGCACCGGCUAACUACGUGCCAGCAGCCGCGGUAA
rnacentral:rRNA from 1 species